AGAGUUUGAUCAUGGCUCAGGACGGACGCUGGCGGCGUGCCUAAUACAUGCAAGUCGAGCGGACGAACUUUUGGUGCUUGCACCGAAUUUUCGUUAGCGGCGGACGGGUGAGUAACACGUGGGCAACCUACCCUGUAGAUUGGGAUAACUCCGGGAAACCGGGGCUAAUACCGAGUAAUACUUUUUGACUCAUGUCAGAAAGUUGAAAGAUGGUUUACGCUAUCACUACAGGAUGGGCCCGCGGCGCAUUAGCUAGUUGGUGAGGUAACGGCUCACCAAGGCAACGAUGCGUAGCCGACCUGAGAGGGUGAUCGGCCACACUGGGACUGAGACACGGCCCAGACUCCUACGGGAGGCAGCAGUAGGGAAUCUUCCACAAUGGGCGAAAGCCUGAUGGAGCAACGCCGCGUGAGUGAAGAAGGAUUUCGGUUCGUAAAUCUCUGUUGUAAGGGAAGAACAAGUAGCGUAGUAACUGGCGCUACCUUGACGGUACCUUAUUAGAAAGCCACGGCUAACUACGUGCCAGCAGCCGCGGUAAUACGUAGGUGGCAAGCGUUGUCCGGAAUUAUUGGGCGUAAAGCGCGCGCAGGUGGUCCUUUAAGUCUGAUGUGAAAGCCCACGGCUCAACCGUGGAGGGUCAUUGGAAACUGGGGGACUUGAGUGCAGAAGAGGAUAGUGGAAUUCCAAGUGUAGCGGUGAAAUGCGUAGAGAUUUGGAGGAACACCAGUGGCGAAGGCGACUAUCUGGUCUGUAACUGACACUGAGGCGCGAAAGCGUGGGGAGCAAACAGGAUUAGAUACCCUGAUAGUCCACGCCGUAAACGAUGAGUGCUAAGUGUUAGGGGGUUUCCGCCCCUUAGUGCUGCAGCUAACGCAUUAAGCACUCCGCCUGGGGGAGUACGGUCGCAAGACUGAAACUCAAAUGAAUUGACGG
rnacentral:rRNA from 1 species